rnacentral:rRNA from 1 species
GCCAGCUGCUCUUUCACCCUGCUGGUCACUGCUGGCAGCCCCCCUGGAGCUCAGCAGGCGUGAGCCUGGUCAGUACCUGGAUGGGAGACCUCCUGGGAAAAACUGAGGUUGCUGCUGGAA